GGGGGUGUAGCUCAUAUGGUAGAGCGCGCGCUUAUCAUGCGCGAGGUACCGGGAUCGAUACCCGGCACCUCCA
rfam:Ciona savignyi cont_7287, whole genome shotgun sequence.